rnacentral:rRNA from 1 species
CCUACGGGAGGCAGCAGUGAGGAAUAUUGGUCAAUGGGCGCAAGCCUGAACCAGCCAAGUCGCGUGAGGGAUGAAGGUCCUGCGGAUCGUAAACCUCUUUUGUCGGGGAGCAAAGGCCGGCACGUGUCCCGGGCAGGAGAGUACCCGAAGAAAAAGCAUCGGCUAACUCCGUGCCAGCAGCCGCGGUAAUACGGAGGAUGCGAGCGUUAUCCGGAUUUAUUGGGUUUAAAGGGUGCGUAGGCGGGAAGUUAAGUCGGCGGUCAAAUGUCGGGGCUCAACCCCGGCCUGCCGUUGAAACUGGGUGUCUUGAGUGGGCGAGAAGUAUGCGGAAUGCGUGGUGUAGCGGUGAAAUGCAUAGAUAUCACGCAGAACCCCGAUUGCGAAGGCAGCAUACCGGCGCUCAACUGACGCUGAGGCACGAAAGCGUGGGUAUCGAACAGGAUUAGAUACCCCAGUAGUC